GAUUAUUUAGUUUAAUAAAAACAAAUAUUUUGAAAAUAUUUAAUAAGAAAAUAUUCUUAAUAAUCU
rnacentral:tRNA from 1 species